rnacentral:rRNA from 1 species
AUUGAACGCUGGCGGCAGGCCUAACACAUGCAAGUCGAACGAGUGGCGGACGGGUGAGUAAUGUCUGGGAAACUGCCUGAUGGAGGGGGAUAACUACUGGAAACGGUAGCUAAUACCGCAUACCAUCGGAUGUGCCCAGAUGGGAUUAGCUAGUUGGUGGGGUAAAGGCUCACCAAGGCGACGAUCCCUAGCUGGUCUGAGAGGGUGACCAGCCACACUGGAACUGAGACACGGCCCAGACUCCUACGGGAGGCAGCAGUGGGGAAUAUUGCACAAUGGGCGAAAGCCUGAUGCAGCAAUGCCGCGUGUGUGAAGAAGGCCUUCGGGUUGUAAAGUACUGUCAGCGGGGAGGCGGUAUCCGCAGAAGAAGCACCGGCUAACUCCGUGCCAGCAGCCGCGGUAAUAC